rnacentral:lncRNA from 1 species
AACAUAAUAACACAUAACAUUGCCUAAACCCUACUAACAACUAAGCUAGCAAAUGAUACUUGUACAAUAGGUCAUAAACCAAGCUUCAAGGCCAAAUCAACUUAAGUUGCAACCUACAGUAGCCAAUCAAACUUGAAAUGGGAACUAAUUUCACUAACAUUUAGAAAUAAAUAAUUGACCAAAUUGAAUUGAACCGACUAACUUCUAAUUCAGUGAGUUAACAAACUGAACUCACUGAGUUCAUUCUAACUAACUCCCAAGCAAUAUCCAAGCCUAAUCACAACCAACUCCAAGCCAUGUCUCCUCCAAAUCUAUCAUCUAUAAAUUCACAUCUCCAUCAACAUUUCACCUCUCUUGAGCUCACCACACUAAAAUCACUACAAAUUUUCCCUCACUUCCUCUCUCACCCUCACCAUACGCACAAUCCCAAGCACUUGAAGCUCACCAUUAGAGCUUCAACAUUGUCGUGCUAAAACUCCUUUCAAUCAUCACCAGUUCGUACACCUCAGAAUCCAUAAAGAAGUAUAAGAGUGGGAAAGAAGAUUCAAGGAAGAAGAAAGAAUCAGAGUUAUCACCUGGCAUCAUAAGUUCAUCGUCAUCAUUAUCUUCGUCUUUCUCCGGCCACAGUAAGUCUCAACCAUACUCAUUUUCUUCAAUUCCACUUACCAGCAUGUAGAAGACGUUGAGAGGAUUCAAACCCCUCACCCAUAGGGCUUUGAAUCAGUGAGGAUAGAAUUUAAUUAGAGCUUUUCAUUUUAGGGUUCUUGUGACGUUUAGGAUCAGUUAGGGAUUUAGAGGCCAUAUUAUGUGAAAUUGACCUUGGAUGUGUGUAGAGCUUGGAUAGACGGUUAUUUUGUCAUCUCCAUUGUUGGUUUUG